rnacentral:rRNA from 1 species
AUUGAACGCUGGCGGCAUGCUUUACACAUGCAAGUCGAACGGCAGCACGGGUGCUUGCACCUGGUGGCGAGUGGCGGACGGGUGAGUAAUGCAUCGGAACGUGUCCUAAAGUGGGGGAUAACGCAUCGAAAGAUGUGCUAAUACCGCAUAUUCUCUGAGGAGGAAAGUAGGGGAUCGAAAGACCUUAUGCUUUUGGAGCGGCCGAUGUCUGAUUAGCUAGUUGGUAGGGUAAUGGCUUACCAAGGCGACGAUCAGUAGUUGGUCUGAGAGGACGACCAGCCACACUGGGACUGAGACACGGCCCAGACUCCUACGGGAGGCAGCAGUGGGGAAUUUUGGACAAUGGGCGCAAGCCUGAUCCAGCAAUGCCGCGUGAGUGAAGAAGGCCUCGGUUGUAAGACGUCUUUCUAGUUGAGAAGAAAAAGUACGUAGACUAAUAAUACAUGAUUCAUGACGGUAUACAACAGAAAGAAGAC